GAUGAACGCUGGCGGCGUGCCUAAUACAUGCAAGUCGAGCGAACGGACGAGAAGCUUGCUUCUCUGAUGUUAGCGGCGGACGGGUGAGUAACACGUGGAUAACCUACCUAUAAGACUGGGAUAACUUCGGGAAACCGGAGCUAAUACCGGAUAAUAUUUUGAACCGCAUGGUUCAAAAGUGAAAGACGGUCUUGCUGUCACUUAUAGAUGGAUCCGCGCUGCAUUAGCUAGUUGGUAAGGUAACGGCUUACCAAGGCAACGAUGCAUAGCCGACCUGAUAGGGUGAUCGGCCACACUGGAACUGAGACACGGUCCAGACACCUACGGGAGGCAGAAGUAGGGAAUCUUCCGCAAUGGGCGAAAGCCUGACGGAGCAACGCCGCGUGAGUGAUGAAGGUCUUCGGAUCGUAAAACUCUGUUAUUAGGGAAGAACAUAUGUGUAAGUAACUGUGCACAUCUUGACGGUACCUAAACAGAAAGCCACGGCUAACUACGU
rnacentral:rRNA from 1 species